GGCACCUGUAGUCCCAGCUAUUGGGAGGCUGAGGCAGGAGAAUGGCGUGAACCCGGGAGGCGGAGCUUGCAGUGAGCCGAGAUCGCGCCACAGCACUCCAGCCUGGGCAACAGAGCGAGACUCCGUUUCAAGAAAAAAAAGAUGUAGUGAGCUAAGGUUGUGCCACUGUACUCCAGCCUGGGUGACAGGGAAAGACCCUGUCUCCAAAACAACAACAACAACAACAAAAAAAACCCGUCCGGUUUUUACUUUGUAUUCUUUAACACAGUUGUUCAAUUUGUUAGGGUGCUGAAAGUAUAGGGUAAUUUUUAAGUUUUACGUCUAUUAAUUUUGUAGUGUUGUUUUUACAAUAGCUUAACAAAAUUUUAUUUUUGUUGAGACAGGGUCUCGCUGUUGCCCAGGCUGCAGUGCAGUGGUGAGAUGUUGGCUCACUGCAGCUUCUGCCUCCCAGACUCAUGUGAUCCUCCUACUUCAGCCUCCUGAAUAGCAGGGACUACAGGCCACAGCAUAGAACAUCUCCAGCUUAGACACAGUCUCGUUCCUAACUGCCAGUUCUCAGCCACAAUGGCUCAAAGAAGCCGAAGGCUCUGGAUGGAAGAAAAUUGCUUUCCACAGGCAAAAAUGGAAGAUAUCUGCACACACUGCAAGUGCACAGACAUCAGAAGAGAGCACUGCAUUCCACAUGGCAUCCAUCUGGUAUGAAACCCCGCAUUUUUUAAUAAACGAGAAGCCUGUUCCAUAUAUAGGGAGACUCCUGAAAACCUGGUGAUACAUAUAUUUGAAAAUGAGGGUGUUUCCAUAGGAAUGAAAGAAACUGUCUGUUUAUAGAGCCUGUUACAACAGA
rnacentral:lncRNA from 1 species